rnacentral:rRNA from 1 species
AACGAACGCUGGCGGCAGGCCUAAAACAUGCAAGUCGAACGCCCCGCAAGGGGAGUGGCGCACGGGUGAGUAACGCGUGGGAACGUGCCCCUUAGUACGGGACAACGUCGGGAAACUGACGCUAAUACCGUAUAAUAUCUCCGGAUCAAAGAUUUAUCGCUGAGGGAGCGGCCCGCGUCUGAUUAGCUAGUUGGUGAGGUAAAGGCUCACCAAGGCUACGAUCAGUAGCAGGUCUGAGAGGAUGAUCUGCCACACUGGGACUGAGACACGGCCCAGACUCCUACGGGAGGCAGCAGUUAGGAAUAUUGGACAAUGGGGGAAACCCUGAUCCAGCCAUGCCGCGUGUGUGAUGAAGGCCCUAGGGUUGUAAAGCACUUUCGUUGGGGAUGAUAAUGACCGUACCCAAAGAAGAAGCCACGGCUAAAUUCGUGCCAGCAGCCGCCGCAG